rnacentral:tRNA from 1 species
UGUGGCUCACUGGUAGAGUGCGUGCCUAGCAUGCAUGAGGCCCUGGGUUCAAUCCCCAGCA